ACGUAGUUAUACGACUGACGGAAGUGGAAUUGACCACAGGAAGUAUAACCUUGACUAUUAGCCGACCGUCUGGGCAGAAAAG
rnacentral:ncRNA from 2 species